GUCCCUUCAUGGCCUUUUUUGGGCUAAGAUCAAGCGUUAUAUCUGUUCUUAUCUGUUUAAUCUGAUACCAUUUUUUGUAACCCUCUCCCAACAGUUUAGUCCGAUCUGGUACAUCCUCUGCCACCGUGCAAGGACCCCAUGUGUGCACUGCAUUUCUCAAAACUACACUUGAUCAUUU
rnacentral:snRNA from 1 species